CCUUCUAAACAUGAUUAAGUCUCUUCUGUAACCCUCAUCCCUUCAGGCUUUUAGACUUGCUUUUCGAGUAUCCCUUUUUAUUUUCUUUGUACAGAAGCCCAAUUGGUAUAGCUAAUAGAGUUGAGAAAAAUAUGACAGAUUUCUUGUUGUCUUGGAUGAAAGUUCUAGAGAUUUCACUUAAUUAUAUGAGAUGUACAACAAUUCUAAAAAGAUAGAAGCUUGGUAUUAAGAAACCUUGUAUGUAAAAAUCUUAUUAUAGUAGUCAAAUGUUAUGACACUUUUCUCUGGAGCCUCUUUCUAUAUGACAAAAGGUUUUAUCAUCACCCAUAGUAGUCCAUGAAAAUUCAUUUCUCAUGUAUACAAAUAUUUUUUCCCCUUAGUUCAUCGCAAGGUGCAUGAUAAUUCCCAUUUUCUCUUUUGGGAAGAUCAUUUAGGGAAAGAAUUUCCCUUUGCUACUCAUUUUAAGAGGAGAGUUUCUUUAUUGAUAAUUUCAAUCUUCUAUAUAUUUUGUAUUAAUGGCUACUUCAAUGAAUUGUUUUGGUUGCCGAUUAUUUUGAUUUUCUUUUGUUUCUCUUGUAACCCAAAUGAUAUAGAAACGAUAGAUUUAAUGUCUUUAAUGAAUGUUCUUGACAACUUUUAUCUUAUCUAUGUUCUUGGUUGUUACACUUGGAUCUUCAUUCUGAUACUUCAAUAUCAUAUCAGAAACAUAUGUGAUAGUUGAAUUUCACAUAACCACUUAAGUUAUAUGCUACUAAUAUCUUGAACUUAAGCUCAUAAAAG
rnacentral:lncRNA from 1 species